rnacentral:rRNA from 1 species
AUUGAACGCUGGCGGCAUGCUUUACACAUGCAAGUCGAACGGUAACAGGCCGCAAGGUGCUGACGAGUGGCGAACGGGUGAGUAAUGCAUCGGAACGUGCCCAGUCGUGGGGGAUAACGCAGCGAAAGCUGCGCUAAUACCGCAUACGCUCUGUGGAUGAAAGCGGGGGACCGUAAGGCCUCGCGCGAUUGGAGCGGCCGAUGGCAGAUUAGGUAGUUGGUGGGGUAAAGGCUCACCAAGCAGACGAUCUGUAGCUGGUCUGAGAGGACGACAAGCGACACUGGGAUCGAGACACGUCACAGACUCCUAAGGGCGGGAGCAGUGGGGAAUUUUGGACAAUGGGCGCAAGCCUGAUCCAGCCAUGCCGCAUGCUGGAAGAAGGCCUUCGGGUUGUAAACCGCUUUUGUCAGGGAAGAAAUCUUGCGGGCCAAUACCCUGCGAGGAUGACGGUACCUGAAGAAUAAGCACCGGCUAACUACGUGCCAGCGGCCGCAGUAAAAC